AGAAAUAACAGCAAUAACAGCAGCCUUUUCGCAAGAACUCUCCGUCUGGCAUAUGCUUGAUCAUCCAAAUGUAACCAAGGUAAUCUUUGACUUGACACGUUAUUGUGUUUCCGUCAAUUUAAUUUUGUUAAUCUUUUUCGCUUGUUGACAUACAUCACUGUUGCAUUUAUCAAUUCUUGAAAAAAUGAUGAUAAAAAUGAAACGAAUCUUCAGUGUUGGGACUGAUGACCGAUACUUGCUGCCUAAGGCAAUACAAGCGCAUUGCAGCGAUGAAAUUGUUAACUGUCCCUGUAUAAACAUUAGCUUCCUUAAUCAGGCCUCUAACAAGUUAAGAAGUUUUUAGUAAGUUCUGUGUAAGCCACUAGAAUAGAAGCUGUGGUACAUUGUCUGCUUAGACAAAAUAUUAGUUCUCACUCACAUAUAUCAAAUGUUUUCACCUCUCACUUGUCAUGUUGUAAUGAUGGAACCAGGGCUGCUGCACCUCUCACUUGUCAGUAAGAUUUAUAUCUUUUGUACAAUUAUUAUAUCAGACACUGAAAGGUAGAAACAUAACAUCUGGAUUAGGACCUGAAUGUUGCUAGUGGUAGUAACUAUUGACAAAUCUAUAUCUUUGUUGUGUCGUGUGGGAUCAGAUGUUUUUCAUGAUUUUUCAACACUGCAAUUGGCCAGUUGUGCUGCUGCUGCCCCUGUUGUUGAGUAGAUUUGUUAAAUCACCCCACCCAUGUAUUCAGACUUGUCUAAACACCAUACGGUGCCAAGAAUUCAAGUUAAUUUGUUUGUUGUCAUGUUUUGAGAAAUUGCCGGUGAACUGAACUGGACAUCUGCCAAAAACAGCAUCCGACCUUCAUACAGUGGGUACAAUAUAUGUUCAGCUGACAUGCGGAAUUUUGCACUUUAUUUUUCUUAUUUCAGGGGGAGAGGAAAAUGCCAAUGCUUAUCGGGAUUGUAGUAGUAUUCACCAUUCACGUGUUUGGAGUCUACUGGUGGUACAGGAUACAGGAAUGAUGACCUUGUUAGACCUUUGGUGAUGCUUCCUCCAAAAGAAAUACCACCAUUCUGGCAUGCUAUAUUUUUCAUUGUGGUGAAUGGUAUUCUCUUUUCCCACACAGCAUGAUUUCCUCCAAAAGAAAAUUAUUUGUCUUGAAGUCCACUUCCUGCCCCUUGCCCUGUUUUACGUCGAAUAUCUCAAGCGACAAAAUUUAGUACUUUUUGGUGUUGAUCUCAAGUGCUGGCUCCUACAGCAUUGCAUUUCACCAAGUGAAAUGCUACAUUUCUACUCCUAACCCAUUCUCUCUUUCUUAGUGUUUUUGUUAUGCAGGUUGGAAGAAAAGAAGAAGAUCCAGAGAAGAUCUUAGUAAUAAGAUACUCCCUCCGUUCCUAAAUAUAAGUCUUUUUAGACAUUUCAAAUGGACUACAACAUACAUCCGUAUAUAGACAUAUUUUAGAGUGUAGAUUCAUUCAUUUUGCUCCGUAUGUAGUCACUUGUUGAAAUCUUUAGAAAGACUUAUAUUUAGGAACGGAGGGAGUAGUUUUUAGGAAAAUAGAUAUUUAGUUUUAGGUCAUUUCUUGUAAUUUCAGAUAUGGAGUGCUUGUUUUUAGUUUUUGUUUUGUGAAACUUGCUAUCUAUGGAUGAAAUUGUGUAAUAUUGAUGAAACUAUGUAUAUGUAUGGAUGAAACUUGC
rnacentral:rRNA from 1 species